AGAGAUGACAUAAGAACUGCUAAUUCCUAUACCUGAAGUUAAACCUCCAGCUCUCUC
rnacentral:tRNA from 1 species